rnacentral:misc_RNA from 1 species
UUCAUUUUUUCAAUUCACUUCUCAUGGUGUAAAUUCUGGGAAACCCUUUUUCAGUCAGAGAAGUACAAGAACUACGACUUCGGGAGAUGUCCACGAGUUUAUUGCUGUGGACAGCCUUGCCUUCCAGUUGGUCAGUCCGAUAUUCCACGUUCAAGUACAGUAAAAAUAUACUGUCCUAGAUGUGAGGAUAUCUAUUAUCCCCGAUCAAAGUACCAAGGCAAUAUCGAUGGAGCUUACUUUGGAACAACAUUUCCACACCUCUAUUUGAUGACUUACGCACACCUCAAGCCACAAAAACCAACACAAAAUUAUGUCCCAAGGAUAUUCGGUUUCAAGCUCCACAAAACUUGACAGUGAAGUCCUUUGUGAUAUCGUGAAGAUGUUAGUUUUCUGCCAUUAAUGCUUCUUACCUGGCUAUAGUGUACAAGGCAUCGUGGUAGAGCCCAGGUAAUAAUGGGAGGAGUUCUAUAUAUGGGAAAGCUUGAUUCAAUUGAUCAAGAAAGCAACUCUGGUGAAUCUGUCAAGUGUAAUUCGUCUCUGAAAUUUCAUCAUGAAAUACAUCGAGCAUCUGUAAGCUUAUUUCUUUUCUAGGUAGCUAGAGAUUUGGAUUUAUUCCUCAUGUAGUUCUUUGGUAUCUG